GAUUGGCUCAGAUUUCAAGGGUGAAAUCUUUGUACUUUGAACUGCAGUAUCCAGUGGGGAAGGUACCCCAAGAAUCUCAUAUAGGGAAGGAAAGGGAGGGGACUCCUAGAUCUCAGAGACUCCUGAGAAGGAAACACUGAAGUAAAAGAAGAGUCAGUAACUGAAUAUGUGUAAAGGCAUUAAAAGACAUGGAUAUUGUUCAAACCAACCUCAAAGACAAUCAGUCUAAACAAAAGGAGUGUGCGAGAGAGAUCACCCUGAGGAGAGUCUCACGGGCAGAGAGAGAGCGCAUGCUGGA